rnacentral:lncRNA from 1 species
UCAGGUGUAAAGGAAGAGCUGCUAGUAAGAAGUAAGGGAAGGAACCCUAGGGUAUGACAUCAACAUAAAGUAAAAACUCUUAGCUGUGACCCAGAAAGGUAAGCGAGGAGGAGAUUAAACGCUUGCUUGAUCAGACAAAACAAGCCCUUAAUAAAUAGAGUUGUACAGGCCAAGGCAAUAAAAAAGACCAAGCGCAAGGCAAAAGGCAGUAAAUAAAAGCUCUUCCUGAUUCAAGUCUUGGAGGAAGGGCGGGAUCUUUCAUCGAUAGUUAUUCAUUUAAGUCUUCGGGUAGCAUGGCUAAUACAGCCCUUUUCAUCAUGUCUUCGCAUGUACCCGCAGUAGCAUUCAAGUAAUGC